AUUGAACGCUGGCGGCAGGCUUAACACAUGCAAGUCGAGCGGGGUGAUGGUGCUUGCACUAUCACUUAGCGGCGGACGGGUGAGUAAUGCUUAGGAAUCUGCCUAUUAGUGGGGGACAACAUCUCGAAAGGGAUGCUAAUACCGCAUACGUCCUACGGGAGAAAGCAGGGGAUCACUUGUGACCUUGCGCUAAUAGAUGAGCCUAAGUCGGAUUAGCUAGUAGGCGGGGUAAUGGCCCACCUAGGCGACGAUCCCUAGCUGGUCUGAGAGGAUGACCAGCCACACUGGAACUGAGACACGGUCCAGACUCCUACGGGAGGCAGCAGUGGGGAAUAUUGCACAAUGGGCGCAAGCCUGAUGCAGCCAUGCCGCGUGUAUGAAGAAGGCCUUAUGGUUGUAAAGCACUUUAAGCGAGGAGGAGGCUCUUUUGGUUAAUACCCAAGAUGAGUGGACGUUACUCGCAGAAUAAGCACCGGCUAACUCUGUGCCAGCCGCCGCCGUAA
rnacentral:rRNA from 1 species